UACGAAGGGGGCUAGCGUUGUUCGGAAUCACUGGGCGUAAAGGGCGCGUAGGCGGCUUUAUAAGUCGGGGGUGAAAGCCUGUGGCUCAACCACAGAAUUGCCUUCGAUACUGUAGAGCUUGAGACCGGAAGAGGUAAGUGGAACUGCGAGUGUAGAGGUGAAAUUCGUAGAUAUUCGCAAGAACACCAGUGGCGAAGGCGGCUCACUGGACUGGUAUUGACGCUGAGGUGCGAAAGCGUGGGGAGCAAACAGG
rnacentral:rRNA from 1 species